GUGGGGAAUAUUGCACAAUGGGCGCAAGCCUGAUGCAGCGACGCCGCGUGCGGGAUGACGGCCUUCGGGUUGUAAACCGCUUUCAGCAAGGAAGAAGCUUUUUGUGACGGUACUUGCAGAAGAAGCGCCGGCUAACUACGUGCCAGCAGCCGCGGUAAUACGUAGGGCGCGAGCGUUAUCCGGAAUUAUUGGGCGUAAAGAGCUCGUAGGCGGUUUGCCACGUCUGCUGUGAAAGCCCGGGGCUCAACCUCGGGUGUGCAGUGGGUACGGGUAGGCUGGAGUGCAGUAGGGGAGACUGGAAUUCCUGGUGUAGCGGUGAAAUGCGCAGAUAUCAGGAGGAACACCGAUGGCGAAGGCAGGUCUCUGGGCUGUUACUGACGCUGAGGAGCGAAAGCAUGGGGAGCGAACAGGAUUAGAAACCCUAGUAGUCC
rnacentral:rRNA from 1 species